rnacentral:rRNA from 1 species
UACGUAGGGGGCAAGCGUUGUCCGGAAUCAUUGGGCGUAAAGAGCGUGUAGGCGGCCAGAAAAGUCCGCUGUGAAAACUCGAGGCUCAACUUCGAGCUGUCGGUGGAAACUUUCUGGCUAGAGUCCGGAAGAGGAGAAUGGAAUUCCUGGUGUAGCGGUGAAAUGCGCAGAUAUCAGGAAGAACACCCGUGGCUAAGGCGGUUCUCUGGGACGGUACUGACGCUGAGACGCGAAAGCGUGGGGAGCGAACAGG